rfam:Thermoactinomyces vulgaris strain NRRL F-5595 F5595contig15.1, whole genome shotgun sequence.
CCGCGCUAGAUGGGGAGCUGGCGGUGCCCUGUAACCCGUAAUCCGCCUUAACGGGGUUGAAUUCCUAUCUGAGGCGCAUCUUGUGCGAGGUCUGGUCUGGAUGAUCAGUGUUGAUAAUUGGGUCCUACGCAACGAGGCCUUCCGAACCGUGUCAGGUCCUGACGGAAGCAGCACUAAGGGAGAAUCCUCGUGUGCCGUAGGGGUGCCUGGUUUGAGCUGAUGAUCCAGUGCCCGCUCGGGCUAGGUGCGUCAAGGAUAGGUGCGCGG